GAUGAACGCUGACAGAAUGCUUAACACAUGCAAGUCUACUUGAACUUCGGUUUGGGUGGCGGAUGGGUGAGUAACGCGUAAAGAACUUGCCUCACAGAUAGGGACAACAUUUGGAAACGAAUGCUAAUACCUGAUAUUAUGAUUUUAGGGCAUCCUAGAAUUAUGAAAGCUAUAUGCACUGUGAGAGAGCUUUGCGUCCCAUUAGCUAGUUGGAGAGGUAACGGCUCACCAAGGCGAUGAUGGGUAGCCGGCCUGAGAGGGUAAUCGGCCACAAGGGGACUGAGACACGGCCCUUACUCCUACGGGAGGCAGCAGUGGGGAAUAUUGGACAAUGGACCAAGAGUCUGAUCCAGCAAUUCUGUGUGCACGAUGAAGUUUUUCGGAAUGUAAAGUGCUUUCAGUUGGGAAGAAAAAAAUGACGGUACCAACAGAAGAAGUGACGGCUAAAUACGUGCCAGCAGCCGCGGUAAUACGUAUGUCACAAGCGUUAUCCGGAUUUAUUGGGCGUAAAGCGCGUCUAGGUGGUUAUGUAAGUCUGAUGUGAAAAUGCAGGGCUCAACUCUGUAUUGCGUUGGGAAACUGUGUAACUAGAGUACUGGAGAGGUAAGCGGAACUACAAGUGUAGAGGUGAAAUUUGUAGAUAUUUGUAGGAAUGCCGAUGGGGGAAGCAGCUUACUGGACAGAUACUGACGCUGAAAGCGCGAAGCGUGGGUAGCAGACAGG
rnacentral:rRNA from 1 species